UCCUGGUUUCCCAGGCAGUCCCAUCAGAGUGCUCGCUUACGCGAUAGCAACUGACAGCAGGGGUUGCGCUCGUUAUAGGACUUAACCCAACAUCUCACGACACGAGCUGACGACAGCCAUGCAGCACCUGUGAAUAUGUCCACGGUUUCCCGUGGAAAGCUCUAUCUCUAGAGUUGUCAUAAACAUGUCAAACCUAGGUAAGGUUCCUCGCGUAGUGUCGAAUUAAACCACAUGUUCCACCGCUUGUGCGGACCCCCGUCAAUUCCUUUGAGUUUUAAUCUUGCGACCGUAGUCCCCAGGCGGAUCACUUAUCGCGUUAGCUACGACACUAAGCCUGCAGAGCAAGCCUAACGUCUAGUGAUCAUCGUUUACAGCGUGGACUAC
rnacentral:misc_RNA from 1 species